rnacentral:lncRNA from 1 species
AAAACACUGAAGACAAUGCAGGAGUACAAGAAGUAUGUAAAAUUAAUUUGGAGUAUUUCCUGAAGAUGUUGGGCCCCUGUCCUCAGGCUCACAGCCCAUUGAAGAAACUGGUCAGCAGCUUCGAAAAACAACCCAGGGCAUGGAAGAAGGCCCUGCAGGGCCCCAGAGCUCAGAACUUGACCUGAAGCUUUGACCAGGAGGUAACAUUUGUCCUUCCUAUUAACCAAAUGUAAGGGACCUGUUGGAACAGCAAGGACACAGGGAGGAUCGAAUCAUUUCACUAAACCAUCCAUUUGUGAGCCGUUUCAAAUUUACCGAUUUCCUGCUGGGGCAGUGGGAGAGGGAAAAUGAGAAGAAAAACCAAGUCCAGUGGUCUUAAUUCUGAGGGCCUGCAUGGGGCAGAGAAUAUGCUUUGAUGGAAAGGCAAGACUUUUCUCUGGGAUAUGUAGAAUUGGAGGCAAGGGGAAGCAGGAGGGAGGUUGGGAAUGUAGGCUCUGGAGGAGGGAAGUAGGAAGUGAGUUCUGUCCUCCCAGUGGGCUUUCCCUCCCCAAGCAGAUCACUAGCACAGACGGGAGUGACUAUUAGGAGAGAUGGGGGUUCCGUUCAAAAGCUGGAUGGGCUGGUGACUGUCCCUUUGCCACAGAGCUAGAGUGGCAGUGCAGCAUGCAUCCCAGAGGUCUGGCAUGCCAAGCUCCAGGAGGACCCCAAGGUCAAGUGGACAGAGCAGGAACAGGGUUUGUGCCAUCUCGCCAAUCUACUGCCCUGUCUGAGAGGGUGCUCUCCAGAUGAGGUCCAUCAGGGGCCUGUGGGGUGUGUAGCCAGCAAUGAAAACUGAGGGGAGCAGAAGGAGGCUGAGCCAGAUGUUCCCCCUUCUUCCCAGCAACGAUGCCCACAUCCUGUCCAGCCUACAUCCAUCCAUCAGAUUUAGGAACUUCAAAGUAGAGACAGGGUGUACAGCCAGUUGAGUUGCCAGAUAAAACACAGGACACCCAAUUAAAUUUGAACUAAAGACAAACAAGGAAUAAUUGUUAUUGCAUGAGACAUACACUAAAAAAAGACUAUUCCUUGUUUAUCUGAAAUUAAAAUCUUACUGGCUGUCCUGAUUUUUUUAAAUUGUUUUGCUAAAUCUGGUAUUUCGAUUAACAGGACAACAUGCUAAAUGAAUCUCAACAUUUUUGAGGAUGGUAUUAAAGUAAUAGGGUCUUGUCAUGUCUGGGCAGUUGUAGGAAUUUCCAGAAGUGGUGCUGAGUUCUCCAGGCUCUGGGAUUUUGUUACUGACUCCCAGGUGACAGUUUCCUUUCCAAGCACUUGGCCCCUCUUCCCUCUGGGAGCUAUGAGAGAAAAGAAAAAAGAAAUAUACUAUACAAGCUGAUUUGAUGGGCCAGCCAAAGGAACUGGCAGUAACUCAGGGGUUUCAAACUGUGGGUCACAACUCCUGCAGGUUGUGAACCCAGGUCAUGCCAGCAUGAGUAGGGGAUAGGGUGGAUUAGGGAAGGGGAUCAGAGUGUACAGCCUGUAUUUUUUUUUCAACUGCUCUCCCUUUUUAAUCAAUUUUACACAAUGAUAUUGUACAUGAGUAAUCACAGUAAGAGACAGGAUGGGUUUCCUAUACACAUACAAGACGUACAAGCUCAUUCACUGAGGCUUUUAGAAGGUUUUAUCAGUACAAAACUUGUUAAUACAGGUGAAGCCCAAGAAUACAGUAAACAUGACAGAACAUCAACUCAGCAGAGGUGAAUUCUUAAGGCGUUUGUCUCCUGCCCACACUGUCUGCCAUGAACCAAGUAUAGAGGACUUUCUCUCUCGGGUAUUUAACCUUUGAUGAGCACAGGCCUGUGGGACAUGCAGCUUCACAGUGAGCCCACAGCUCAACCACACCAACCUUGACACAAGCAAAGGAUAUCUUCCUUUCUCAAGUAUUCUCAAGAGUAAAAAAGCUAUUCCUGGUCACCCUACUCCUUUGGGUAACCUACAUUCUAAAAUCUAUGAUUAUUAAUCUGGUAACAUUCUCAAGCAUUUUUGGCAAGAUAUCUCAAAUAUCUCAUCACUGUUCAUCUACUCACUAAAAAUUCUUUGAGCUUCAUAAAGAUUGUUUCUGAUUUUCCCCUCAAAGUAUGACAAUUACAUACAGAAUAAACGUGCUAGAGUUAACAGAACUAAACAGAGGGCAGACUUUUCCUUACAAAAUAAAGCAGUAAUGGAGAUAUAAGAGAAUAGUCUAGUAUACACAUUAAUGGAGGAAGCUGAGUCCACUAAUGAUUCUGUCACUUCUACCCAGUCCACUAACAGUUCUGAGCGAGUGUGUUUCUACUUUCCUUUUUCACACCCAAUCUCAUUAGCCACAGGAACUGUUAAAAGUUCACAAUGUUGACCUUCACUUGGCCCAUGGAAUUCCCAUGAUACGCAAUGGGGAAACUGCCCACCAGCCCUCACAGUCAGCUACUGCUUCCCAUGGCCAGAGCUAGACCUCAUCACUGCCUGGGAUGGAUUUUAGUUCUCUCACUUACAUACCUCAGGAACAUAGAGGUUCAAAGACUACAUUAAACAAAGGCUUGCAGGACACAUUAGGGAAAGAAAAACCCAUGCAUCACAUCCACAUCUAUUUUCCAUCCUUCACAAAGCCUAACCCUCUUACAACAAAACAGGCUUUUGUAAGCAGGUUUUUAAAAAGAUAAAGCAGGAGAAAUCAGUAACUGGCUGUGAUUUGACCUAAAGUAGAGAAAGAAAACAAAAUGUUUGCUAGAUUUUAAAAAUGACAAUUUUACAAAGACAAUCUUCAAUCUGUAAUUUUAUUACUUAACUGUCUCUAGAAGCAGAGUAUUAAUACAAAAUAAAAACUGAUUUUUUCAUUAGACAAUUCCACAAAAUUUCAAUAAACAUUUAACAUUCAUUAUUUUAGUAAAUUUUAUGUAAUAAUCCGUGACUACCGAAGGUUUCCUAUGUGUGAUUUUAUACUUUUGCACAAUCCUUCAUAUAAACUAGGUACUGGGAGGAAGUGUGGUAAGAAGCAGCCAAAGGACAGCUGUUCCUCUUUCCUGAAAGUAAAAUCAAAUUACUAUCUAUCUCACACCCACCACUGCCAUGCACACAGUUGUUAGUUGCUGAGUCGUGUCUGACUCAGUGACCCAGUGGACUAUAGCCUGCCAGACUCCUCUGUCCACGGGAUUUCCCUGACAAGAAUAUUGGAGUGGGUUGCCAUUUCCUUCUCUACUGCUUGUAUUUUAUCUCAAAAAAAUCUUGUAUCUCUGAGUUAUUGUGUGUAUACAUGACUAACAAUAUUUCUUACUGUAGUCAGGUUCCAAAAUGUUUGAAAGACACUAAUGAUGAUGUUGAGGCUUGCAGGACAUUAUUGUGAAAACUGUUGGAUCAACAGCCAGGAUGAGUUGGUUUCACACCCAUGGGUUAGGGUAAGCUUUGCCUUGGUCUGGAGAAAUCACCCUCUGGAACCAUCUUAUCUUUUCAUGGAAUCUUCAGUCCCUGCAUAUAAAUGGCCAAUGCUUAAUUUAAAUCAUUUAAAGUUCCCAGGUUUGUUCAUUUUGUUUACUGUACUGUAAUAACUUAUUAAAAACUUACAUGGAAUUGAACAUUGUUGCACCUGGUCUUAGGCAUUAAAUAUGUUAUAAUGUGGGACUAAAGGCAUUGUCCAAAUGGCCAUAGUGGGUUUUCUUAAUUUAUUUUUUUAUUGAAGGAUAAUUGCUUUACAGAAAACCAUAGUGGUUUUAACAUUUGCUUUAUUUCCUCCUCUAAAGGAAAGGUUUUUCACUGAAAAAUCCAUGGAGAUUACUUGGGAUAAUUCCCCAAAGCUACCCUAAAUGGUUUUGACAGAGUCAUAAUUUCUCUCAUGCAAAGAAUAUAUGAUGCUUUUACUUAGAAAGUGGAAGAAGAAAUGUUUGCAGUUGUACUUUGAAUUUUUAAAAAAUUCCUAUAACAAUUAGCUCUUGAUUCAGAAAUUAUAAAUAAAGCUAUUUUAUCAUCCAGUGUCACUGAAACAUUUUGUCCUGUGAUGUUUUAGUUUUUAUUGUUCUUAGAGAUUUAAUUUUUAUCUUGCACU